rnacentral:rRNA from 1 species
UACGGGGGGAGCAAGCGUUGUUCGGAUUUACUGGGCGUAAAGGGCGCGUAGGCGGCCACCGCAAGUCAAUUGUGAAAUCUCCGGGCUUAACCCGGAAAGGUCAACUGAUACUGUGCGACUAGAGUGCGGAAGGGGCAACUGGAAUUCUUGGUGUAGCGGUGAAAUGCGUAGAUAUCAAGAGGAACACCUGCGGCGAAGGCGGGUUGCUGGGCCGACACUGACGCUGAAGCGCGAAAGCCAGGGGAGCGAACGGG